GAAACGACUGCUAAGACUGGAUAGGAAGAUAAAAGGCAUCUUUUAUCUUUUAAAAGACCUAGUAAUAGGUAUGCUUUAGGAGGGGCUUGCGCCAUAUUAGUUAGUUGGUAGGGUAAUGGCCUACCAAGACGAUGAUGUGUAGCUGGACUGAGAGGUUGAACAGCCACAUUGGGACUGAGACACGGCCCAAACUCCUACGGGAGGCAGCAGUAGGGAAUUUUCGGCAAUGGAGGAAACUCUGACCGAGCAACGCCGCGUGAAUGACGAAGUACUUCGGUAUGUAAAGUUCUUUUAUCAAGGAAGAAAAGCAAAUGGCGAACCAUUUGUUUGCCGGUACUUGAUGAAUAAGCCCCGGCUAAUUAUGUGCCAGCAGCCGCGGUAAGACAUAAGGGGCAAGUGUUAUCCGGAAUUAUUGGGCGUAAAGGGUGCGUAGGCGGUCUAGUAAGUCAGUGGUGUAAUGGCAACGCUUAACGUUGUCCGGCUAUUGAAACUGCUAAACUUGAGUUAGAUAGAGGCGAGUGGAAUUCCAUGUGUAGCGGUAAAAUGCGUAAAUAUAUGGAGGAACACCAGAGGCGUAGGCGGCUCGCUGGGUCUUAACUGACGCUGAGGCACGAAAGCGUGGGGAGCAAACAGGAUUAGAUACCCUGGUAGUCCACGCCGUAAACGAUGAGUACUAAGUGUCGGGUUAAACCGGUACUGAAGUUAACACAUUAAGUACUCCGCCUGAGUAGUACGUACGCAAGUAUGAAACUUAAAGGAAUUGACGGGACUCCGCACAAGCGGUGGAUCAUGUUGUUUAAUUCGAAGAUACCCGAAAAACCUUACCAGGUCUUGACAUGUUUUUGCAAAAUGAUAGUAAUAUCGUGGAGGUUACCAGAAACACAGGUGGUGCAUGGUUGUCGUCAGCUCGUGUCGUGAGAUGUUAGGUUAAGUCCUAAAACGAGCGAAACCCUUAUCGUUAGUUGCCAGCACGUUAUGGUGGGGACUUUAACGAGACUGCCAAUGAUAAAUUGGAGGAAGGUGAGGAUCACGUCAAAUCAGCAUGCCCCUUAUGACCUGGGCUACAAACGUGAUACAAUGGCUGUUACAAAGGGUAGCUGAAACGCAAGUUCUUGGCCAAUCCCCAAAAACAGUCCCAGUCCGGAUUGAAGUCUGCAACUCGACUUCAUGAAGUUGGAAUCGCUAGUAAUCGCGAAUCAGCAUGUCGCGGUGAAUACGUUCUCGGGUUUGUACACACCGCCCGUCA
rnacentral:rRNA from 1 species